rnacentral:piRNA from 1 species
UAAAAAGCGAUUUGGAGGCGUGUGUUC